rnacentral:rRNA from 1 species
AGCGCAGGCGGGAAGACAAGUUGGAAGUGAAAACUAUGGGCUCAACCCCAUAAAUUGCUUUCAAAACUGCUGGCCUUGAGUAGUGCAGAGGUAGGUGGAAUUCCCGGUGUAGCGGUGGAAUGCGUAGAUAUCGGGAGGAACACCAGUGGCGAAGGCGACCUACUGGGCACCAACUGACGCUGAGGCUCGAAAGCAUGGGUAGCAAACA